UACGAAGGGGGCUAGCGUUGUUCGGAAUUACUGGGCGUAAAGCGCACGUAGGCGGAUUUGUAAGUCAGGGGUGAAAUCCCGGGGCUCAACCCCGGAACUGCCUUUGAUACUGCGAAUCUCGAGUCCGGAAGAGGUGAGUGGAAUUCCUAGUGUAGAGGUGAAAUGCGUAGAUAUCGGGAGGAACACCUGAGGCGAAGGCGGGCUACUGGGCCGAUACUGACGCUGAGGCGCGAAAGCCAGGGGAGCAAACGGG
rnacentral:rRNA from 1 species